UUGCAAGCUACAAUACAGCGGUUGCAUUGGAGUGGCUUCCGGAGGUUUUCCCCAUGUCAUCCUUGUCAUGCCAGCUCACUGCGCCAGCUUUGGCGCUGUUGUUGCAGUUCAGGACAGAGGCUUCGUAUUCAAGAUUUGAAUAAGGGAGGAAGGCUUGGACUAAAGUGAUUGCAGGGACCAAUGAUUUUGCCAGGCAGAUCAUUUUGGGGGUUGAGAGUUCGGGUAAUGCAGAGCUAAAGAAGGCACUUUUAAGGUGUAAAUCUAGAAUUUUUCGAUGUGGUCUAUUUGAACCCUUUGAUAUUUCAUAUCUGCUCAUACUACUUGCUGGUUUUAGAUUAGUAAGAAAUAGCCUGAGAUAGAUGCAAGGUUAUUGAAGUCGAUCAUUGAUUAACUAGGAAGCAUUACCUAUUGCUGAAGCUCGUGUCCUAAUUAUAGGGCACCUAUAGUUGUAUGGCUGUAGAAAGUAUAGAGGAACGUAAUUUUAUGGUUUAUGUUUUCGAGCUUUAGAUGUUGAGGAAGAUAUGAAUACAGCAAGUUACAUCUAGUAAUGGGACCUGAUACACCAACAUGAGGUGUUGGUUCCCCAAUAGUUUCAAGUGCACAUCUGCCCAUCUGCAGUGUUUUAUACUUAUGGAAGCCAUUGCGUCUUUGGUAGAACUCAGCUUCAUUAGCUUGGUUUCUUUACAUAAUAGGAUUAUGUUUCUUUUUCAGUUUUUAAACUGUUUUUUGAUCAUAUUGAUGUGAUCAGUUGUUAUGUAUUAACUUUUUUAUUGAAGUGUCAUGUCAUAUGUGGCUCUAAUGUGGGACACGUGACCUCCAAAAUUUUCUUAAACUAGAUGAUCUGCUAGUUGUUUUAAGCUCAAAUCAUGGACCUGGCUGCAUUAUUGAGUUCAUCUCCCAGGCUAUCUGAAUGCUAAAGUUGGAGGAAUCGAGGAGAAAUAUGUUGGAAUUAUGCCUUGCUUCCAUGAAGGAAUUGGUGUAUGUGAAAAUCUCAUCGGUACUGCCAUUCCUCUCUCUUAUACACGCUUGACUUAUAGGAUUCUAGUCCUCUGGCAUCUCACUCUCCCUAUCGUACUUGGGGAUGACUUCCACUGGAUUGUGGUUCCGGCGACCUUUAUUAGCGCUGCUUCGUUGUUCUGCAUUGAAGAAUUCAUUAAUAUUAGAAACAUGGUCUCUCCCACAAUCAUUGCCUGUCGUAGUUUGUCUUAUCUCAUGGAUGAGAGAGGCCUCUGGAAGCUCUAAAUGAUGCAAUGCAAGCUCAAGUACUUUCCCCUGUAUGGCACAUUGCAUCUUAUCUACAGGCUGCUUCCCUUUUUGUACUCGGAAUGGAGACUGAGGGGUCUGAGGCACAAUCAGCACUGAAGGAGGGUACUGUGCUUGAAGCCAAAAGGAACACUGCAGCUGGACACAAGUGAAAAUCAAGGUUCAGCUGCUCAGGUACCAAAUAAGACACUACUCAGUUUUGCUCUCAACAUGUGUUCACAGAAAGUCCCAAACAAGGGAAGUCGAAUCUUCAUCCAGUACCAAAGUACAAAUGUUGACAGUACAUCUGAUAUAUCAGAAGUUUCUGAUACUUAAUCAAGGACACAAAGGGAUUAGGACUUAAUACCCAUGCCAAACAUGGCUACGUAAAGAUAAAAAUGUACUGAACACUCUUUUAUCCAAAAUAAAAGACUGAUAAACUUGGAGACUUAAUUGAGUAGAUGAUUGCCCAGCGCCAGUUUGCAUUGAAAGGAAGCACCUUGUCCCCUGAAGAUGUUGUUGCUGUAUAAAACAUCAGUCGAGAACAUACCGCUUAGGAUUGCCUAUUAAGCAUCUCCUUUAACUUCCGUCUUAUCAAAGCUAACCUCACAUAGAGCCAAUCAUUUAGAGCAUUCAAGAAGUUGUAGUAUGCAUAUCUCCAUGACCUCUUGAAUAUCAAACUGCCCAAAAUCCAACAGCAAAUCCGAGUCCCAAACUUAUGUAGAACCCUUG